UACGGAGGGUGCAAGCGUUAUCCGGAUUCACUGGGUUUAAAGGGUGCGUAGGUGGGCAGGUAAGUCAGUGGUGAAAUCUCCGGGCUUAACCCGGAACUGCCGUUGAUACUAUUUGUCUUGAAUAUUGUGGAGGUAAGCGGAAUAUGUCAUGUAGCGGUGAAAUGCUUAGAUAUGACAUAGAACACCAAUUGCGAAGGCAGCUUACUACACAAUGAUUGACACUGAGGCAACGAAAGCGUGGGGAGUCAACAGGA
rnacentral:rRNA from 1 species